AGAAUGGAUCAUGCCUGAACAACAACAACAAAUCUGUGCAUAGGGUUGACUUUAACCAUGGAGACCAAAUGAAGGCCAUAGACAAGGCACCUAGCAGGGUAAUACAAAGAAGCUCCUGAAAUUACACCUCCUUCAUAUCCAGCUCAUCUGAACAUGAAACCGUCAGGAACGCCCAUUCGCUCUCUGCCCCUAAAAUGUCCCCCACCUUUUACUUGUGUUAUAGACAACCUAAACAAUUGUCCUUAAUAAUAUAUUUUGAUGAUAUAAUGAAUUGUGUUCAUACGGUA